UGAGGCAGGAGAAUUGCUUGAACCCAGGAGGUGGAGGUUGCAGUGAGCCGAGAUUGCACCACUGUACUACAGCCUGGGUGACAGAGCGAGACUCCAUCUCA
rnacentral:miRNA from 1 species